AUGGCGUGCCUUUUGUAGAAUGAACCGGCGAGUUACGAUUUGAUGCAAGGUUAAGCAGUAAAUGUGGAGCCGUAGCGAAAGCGAGUCUGAAUAGGGCGUUUAGUAUUUGGUCGUAGACCCGAAACCAGGUGAUCUACCCUUGGUCAGGUUGAAGUUCAGGUAACACUGAAUGGAGGACCGAACCGACUUACGUUGAAAAGUGAGCGGAUGAACUGAGGGUAGCGGAGAAAUUCCAAUCGAACCUGGAGAUAGCUGGUUCUCUCCGAAAUAGCUUUAGGGCUAGCCUCAAGUGAUGAUUAUUGGAGGUAGAGCACUGUUUGGACGAGGGGCCCCUCUCGGGUUACCGAAUUCAGACAAACUCCGAAUGCCAAUUAAUUUAACUUGGGAGUC
rnacentral:rRNA from 1 species